CAGUAGCCGCGGGAAUACGAAGGGUGCAAGCGUUAAUCGGAAUUACUGGGCGUAAAGCGUGCGUAGGCGGUUUGUUAAGUCUGUUGUGAAAUCCCCGGGCUCAACCUGGGAAUGGCAAUGGAUACUGGCAAGCUAGAGUGUGUCAGAGGAUGGUGGAAUUCCCGGUGUAGCGGUGAAAUGCGUAGAGAUCGGGAGGAACAUCAGUGGCGAAGGCGGCCAUCUGGGACAACACUGACGCUGAGGCACGAAAGCGUGGGGAGCAAACAGGAUUAGAGACCCGGGUAGUCCCUGUCUCUUAUAC
rnacentral:rRNA from 1 species